CAGGGCAGAAGGGACCCCGGAACCCUGCCGCCAUCAGAGAUUCAGCAUCUGGCAUCAGGGAUCUUCGGACCCAGCAGAAGGAUCGUCCACGGGGGAGGUGUCCUCCCGGGGAAGCCAACGCGAACUCCACCUGCCCCACCUCAGGAGUGGGCCCCUCAUGACGCUGCUGGCAACUCCACCAGGCCCCUAGCCCCUCUGCCUCCAUCCCCCUCGCCUCCUCUGGCCCUCCCCGCCUCACCUCCAGCUCUCAUCCCAGUCCUCCACCCCCUCCCCCUGACCCCCAACCCUCGCUCCCAACCUGACCCUCCAGGCCUUGGCCCCCACUGACUCCCAGCCUGGGAUACUGGCCAGAUCCCUGGGAGGAAGGCCGCUUGUUUGGGCUAUGCCCCCUGGUGGCAUGACAGGGUCUGCCUAGCCCCCUGACCCCUAGCCCUCAAACCCCUUGCCUCCUUUGUGUGAAGAGCCACCUCUCUACUCAACGGUGUGGUGGGGGGCCAACGGAAACGCCAGCCCCGGUUGUGCCCCUCUCCGGAGCUCCCACCACUUGCCUCCUUGCUGGGCAGCCCACCCCCCCUUGGCCUCGGGGCUUCUCCCUGCUCCCCUUGGCCCCUCCUCCUGGGCCGCGCCAAUGAAGGAGCCGGAUGCCAUCAAGCUAUUUGUGGGGCAGAUCCCGAGGCAUCUGGAGGAAAAGGAUCUGAAGCCCAUCUUCGAACAGUUUGGCCGGAUCUUCGAGCUGACUGUCAUCAAGGACAAGUACACCGGGCUGCACAAGGGAUGUGCCUUCCUGACCUAUUGUGCCCGCGAUUCAGCCCUGAAGGCCCAGAGCGCCCUGCACGAACAGAAGACGCUGCCAGGGAUGAACAGACCCAUCCAGGUCAAGCCAGCCGACAGCGAGAGCCGAGGAGAAGACCGGAAGCUCUUUGUGGGGAUGCUAGGGAAGCAGCAGACAGAUGAGGACGUGCGGAAGAUGUUUGAGCCUUUCGGGACCAUAGACGAGUGCACUGUGCUCCGGGGCCCAGAUGGCACCAGCAAAGGCUGCGCCUUCGUGAAGUUCCAGACCCAUGCUGAGGCCCAGGCGGCCAUCAACACCCUGCACAGUAGCCGGACCCUGCCGGGUGCCUCGUCCAGCCUGGUGGUGAAGUUUGCUGACACGGAAAAGGAGCGAGGUCUCCGCCGAAUGCAGCAGGUGGCCACCCAGCUGGGGAUGUUCAGCCCCAUUGCCCUCCAGUUUGGAGCCUACAGCGCCUACACCCAGGCCUUGAUGCAGCAGCAGGCGGCCCUGGUAGCGGCUCACAGUGCCUACCUCAGCCCCAUGGCCACCAUGGCUGCCGUGCAGAUGCAGCACAUGGCCGCCAUCAAUGCCAACGGCCUCAUCGCCACCCCCAUCACCCCGUCCUCAGGAACCAGCACCCCUCCUGCCAUCGCUGCCACACCCGUCUCUGCCAUCCCUGCUGCUCUGGGUGUCAACGGCUACAGCCCGGUGCCCACCCAGGCCACUGGGCAGCCUGCCCCUGAUGCUCUGUACCCCAACGGGGUGCACCCUUAUCCAGCCCAGAGCCCCGCGGCCCCCGUGGACCCCCUGCAGCAGGCCUAUGCCGGGAUGCAGCACUAUACAGCAGCCUACCCUGCAGCCUACAGCCUGGUUGCGCCUGCGUUCCCGCAGCCUCCCACCCUGGUCGCCCAGCAGCCCCCGCCGCCCCCGCAGCAGCAACAGCAGCAGCAGCAACAGCAGCAGCAGCAGAGAGAAGGCCCUGAUGGCUGCAACAUCUUUAUCUACCACCUGCCCCAGGAGUUCACUGACUCUGAGAUCCUCCAGAUGUUUGUCCCCUUUGGCCACGUCAUCUCAGCCAAAGUCUUUGUGGACCGGGCCACCAAUCAGAGCAAGUGUUUUGGCUUUGUGAGUUUCGACAAUCCAGCCAGUGCCCAGGCCGCCAUCCAGGCCAUGAACGGCUUCCAGAUCGGCAUGAAACGCCUCAAAGUCCAACUUAAGCGGCCCAAGGAUGCUAACCGGCCCUACUGAGGGCCUCCAGGUGGGUCCUGCUCUCGCCCUGUGCCCGCUCCAGAACUACCUCCCCCCCCCCCCACCUCACAGCCAGGGCCCUUGCUUGGACUGUCCCCAUGCCAGACUCACCAUGCUCAGGGACAUCCAACCCCACCCGACUCUGGCACCUGAGGCCAGGGCCUGGGGUCGCUCCCUCUGCUGGCUUUCAAUCAGUGUUUCUCUCUCCCUCUCAUCCACCCACCCACUCUAGCCCCAGAAGAAGCCAAAUCUAUACAUAUCAAUGUCUGCUCCCCAGUCACCCUCAGUAUCUGAUCUUGUGUCUGGUCAGUGUCCCGGUGUCUGUGUGUGUCUCUCUCUGGUUUUGUUUUGGGUUGGAGUGAAGUUAGAGGAGGAGGAUCUGGGGACUGAGUGGGGAGGAGAGAGGCUCAGGGGACUGCAGGGACCUUAGAAUCACUGGCUCCUGGAUGUGGCCUCUUUGCUCUGGACUUUGGUUGACUGUCCUCACAUAGAGGUGGACUUGUGGGACGGCAGGGCGUGCACAGAGCAGCCAAGGGGGUUCCAAGGCCACGCCUCCUGGGAGUGGCUCUGGUUUCAUGGUGGAGGCUGUGAUGUUAGAUGCCCAGAACCUCACUUGUCAGGUCUCCUCCCACCCCACCCGCACGGGGCUCAUGGAAAUGAGCCCUGCUUGUUUUCGUACUGUUGAGUUGCCUUUGGAUACCAGCCCCCCCAGAGAAACACAACCCAAGAACAAUACCCACAUUUUCUGUUUCUCCCCCUCUCCCUCCAAUCCUGGCUGCUUAACUCCCCGCCACCCUGGGGGCCCCCCCCAGCCCAGGGCCCGUGUCCAUUGUCGGCCGAAGCCCCCAUCCCCGGACCCCUGCUCCGGGCCCCUGUCUGGAGAUAAAGAGGAAGGGGCACGUCACCCCUCUUCCCUCAGCUGGCCCCGGAGGCCCUUCUGCACAUCUGCCCUGGGCCUUGAGUAGGCUCUAUGGGCACAGGCCACCGUCCACUCCUACCACCCUGCCUCUCACGAAGGGCCAGGGCCCUUUCCUCCCAGGUGCCCUUUUGGCCUGUCAGGGAGCAAGGAGCAGGCAGGCAAGCUCGGAGGGGUUGGGGGGUACCUGCCUUCUGUUGGGGGUCCUGUGCCCGCCUACCCCCCCUGUUCUGUUCUGCCUGGGGGCACAGCUGGGGCCUCCCACACACUCCCCACCAGAUGGUGCCCCAGCCCCUCCCACCAGGGGUUUCUCAGAAUCUGGUCUUACCCUCCCCAGCUAGGGGUGGGGGGGGUAUCCCAAGACCUGAGCUCCCAGCCCUAAAACUCACUGCCUCCCCCAAAAGGCCCCUCUGAGGAGGGUGUGGGGGGCCCCUGAGGGUUGCCUCUCCUGUCAGCCAGAGACCCGCCUCCUUUCAUGAGGAAAACCCUCCCCUAGCCCCCCUAAAAAUGUUUACAGUCUCUGCUGGUCCCUCCCUGUAAAUACCACCACCGCCCGUGCGUUACCUAUUCCCGCUGCCUGCGGACGCUGCCAGCUCUCCUUCAGGGAGUUUAGACAAUGUUUCCCUUGGGAUUUUUCUCUCUUGAGUUCGCCCUUUGAUUUGG